UUUGGUAUGAGAGUGAGAAUAGCAUUGGCUGAAAAGGCUGUAAAGUAUGAGUACAGUGAACAAGAUUUGUGGAACAAAGGUGCUUUACUUCUUCAAAUGAAUCCUGUUCACAAGAGAAUCCCAGUUCUUGUCCAUGAUGGGAAACCUAUUUUUGAGUCACUUAUCAUUGUUCAGUAUAUUGAUGAGGUGUGGAAGGAUAAGGCUCCUUUGUUGCCUUCUGAUCCCUACGAGAGAGCUCAAUCUAGGUUCUGGGCAGAUUUUGUUGAUAAGAAGGUAAGUUAUUUUUUUGUAAAUAAAUAUAAAGGGUUCAUCUUUUGUGUUUUCUAUUAUUGUUUGGUUUUGAGCCAUGACCUGAUUAAACCCACAUUGCAAUUUGAUUAGUUUGAAUUUUACAUCGCCAGUACAAUUAGCCUGAAGAAUAAUAUCAAAUUACGGAAGAAAUUAGGCAUCGCCAGUAGAAUUAAUUAGCCUGAAGAAUAAUUUCACGAUAUGGAAUGGUGGAGAAGUCUGAUCAUUAUAACAAAUUAACCAUUAAGGUUUCUGAUCAUUUCAUUUUUGAUGAACUAUAUUUUCAUUCUUGUGAGUUCAUGAGAGUUAAAUUGAUUGGAUCCAAUUCUUGUUGAUGUUUCUGUAUAAGGAUCACCAAAUUGAUUGGAUCCAAUUGCUUUAAGAAAUGACAUAUUUAAUGCAUUAAAGACAAGAUUAUGGACUUAGGUGCGCAUUUCUUGAUUAAAAAAAGUCAUUAGUCGAGGGCCAGCUUAUGCGCGCAAGUCCUGAUACUCGUGUUAAAAAAUAAAUAAAUAAUGUUAUCACCAUCUUUGAAUUUAUACUGCUUUGAAUUUCUAACCUCUCUAAGGAUGAAUGGCUUUACCCUCCUCUUUAGACAGAAAUGAAGUACUUGGACCACCUUUGACUUUUGUGAUUCCAAAAAGUCUAUUUGUGGUGAUUUUUUUUAAAAGGAAAUUGUUUGUCUCAAGUUUUAGAAAAUAAUAUAGAUUAAAAAAAUAUUAGAAAAAUAAUAUAGUUCAAUAUAACCAUGUUUUUAAAUAUUAUUUUUCUAUACAAUUAUUAUUUCCGUUUAGUUAAACGAUAAAAUAUGUUAAUAAAAUUUUGGGGUUAAUUUUUUGUAUAUAUAAAUUAAUUUGCAUGAGAUAUAUAUUUUGAUUUUUAACUAAAUAACCGUUGUUUCUAAUAAUAAUAAUAAAAAACACAGUUUUUUUAAACUGUUCUAUUUCCAUUGGAUGUAUUUGCCAAAACUUUUACCUAAUUAUGUGUGGUGACCAUUAUACUAAUUUGUUAUGCAAUGGUGUGAUAUGAACCUUCAGUUAUAUGAGCUUGGGAAGAAGAUAUAUACAACAAAAGGAGAAGAUCAGGAGGCAGCAAAGAAGGAUUUCAUUGACAGCCUCAAGCUUUUGGAAGGAGAGCUUGGAGACAAGCCUUACUUUGGGGGCGACACCCUCGGUUACGUUGAUGUAGCACUACUUCCUUUCUAUUGCUGGUUUUAUGCCUAUGAAACCAUCGGCAACUUCAAUAUAGAGGCUGAUUGUCCGAAGCUGAUUGCUUACUGUAAGAGGUGCUUGGAGAAAGAGAGUGUAUCCAAGUCCCUUGAAGAUCCACAGAAAGUCUAUGAUUUUGUUGUGAUGCUGAGGAAGAAGUUUAAUUGGGCUUGAGUAGUGUUCAUCCAUAGGCAAGGAGGUGCUAUUUCGUGUUAAGAACUUGUACUUAUGUUGUGUGUGAUUUAUGUUUCAAAUAAGGCGGGCACUUAUUUGUGCCUCUAAUAUGUUUAUAUUCUGAGGUACUUUAUUGUGCCUGAGAUAGUAUGUGGUUUUUCUUGAAAUCUUUCCCUUCAAGUAUAAAAAGGCUGGCACCUCUUUGUUCAACACGUCUAUGCCAUGCAGUCAAUAAGACAACUCUGCAAAACCUCGUGUAAAAAUAUAGUGGAUUUUCUAUGGAACUGGGCUCGAGAACCUGGUGUAAAAAUUGAUUACAAUCUAAUAGUCAAAUAUUUUGUUAUUGACUUUUGUAAUCACUAUUCUGGUCUAGUAUAUCAAACCGAACCUAAAUUUAUCUUAUAAAUUCAUUUGUUAAGCCAUACUCCUUAUGGCCAUAUAUAUUGCUAUCCAAAAAUAUUAAUAUUCAAUUAUCCGUCGGUAACGCGCCCCAAUAAAAAGCCAGAAUCCCUUUAUUUCACAAGAGACAGACUCAUUUCUUCUCCUUAUUAUUCUUCUUCUUGUUCUUCUACUUCUUCUUGUUCUUCUUCUUCACUAUAUGUAAAAAACAUUAAUAUAUAUUUCUUUCUCUUCUUUUCUCUCCUCAUCUCCUUCUCUUUUCCUCAAUGCUUGGGUAUGUCUUCUUCUUCUUUCUUUUUUUAUCCUCUUAGUUUUUUUUUUAAUUAAUAUGCUUAACGAAAUUUUUUUUCUCUCCUUAGCUUCACUUGCAACUACAUUAAGGUAAGAUUUUUCUUUUUUCAUGAUUUUUUUCACUAUAUUUGUUUUUUAUUUUAUUUUUAAUUGUUUUUGUUCUUAAUAAUUGUAUAAAUAUUGUUGUGAGAUUUUUUUUUCAUAUGAGAUCAAUUUUUAGUUGAAUUAGUUAUAGGAUUUUUAAAUUUUUAGCAAUUGCAACUUUAUUUUUUUUAUAUGAAUUUUUUUAGUUGAAUUUAUUUUUUCGUUUUAUUUAUUUGUUGCAAAUUUGUUUGAGUUGAUUUUCUUAUUUUUUUCUCCAAGCAUUUUGAGUAUAUAUUAUACAGUGUUAAUUUAUGCUAAUUUAAUUAUUUUAUAAUUUUAUAAAAUGAUUUUUUUUAAAAUGUUUUUAAAUAAUUACCGACGGAAUUACCGACGGAAAUUCCAUCGGUAAUUCCGUCGGUAAAUCCGUUGGUAAUAAAAAAAUAUCAUUACCGAGGGAUAUACCGACGAAAUGAAGCGGAUAAAUUUAUUUUUUUAUUACCAACGGAUUUAUCGACGGAAAAAAAAUUACCGACGAAAAGAUUCACCGACGGAGCAUUUCCGUCGGUGAUUCCGUCGGAAAAUUAAUUACCGACGGAAUAUGUGUCUUACGCCGACGGAAAAAUUUCAUCAGUAAAACUGUUAAAUCUUGUAGUGUCUGGAUAGAUCAAUCUCCGAAUACUUUAUAUAGAAGGAGAAGGAAACAAAAGGAUGAGGAAAAAGGCAAAUGAGAGCGUGGGUUCCUGGAUUACGUAAUCUGCUAGAAUGUUCAACACGUCUAUGCCAUGCAGUCAAUAAGACAACUCUGGAAAACCGGCCAUACUUACUCACAUCAGCCCUUUCUUACCAUAAAUACUUGCAUUUCCACAAUGACAAACCACGGCCUUUUUAGUCUAAGAAAACCAAGAAGCGUUACUUUACUUCAAGAAUCUUCUUUUUCACUUCAAGAAUGGCUGGUGAUCAAGUAACCCUGUUGAAUUUCUAGGCAAGUCCAUUUGGUAUGAGAGUGGGAAUAGAAUUGGCUGAAAAGGCUGUAAAAUACGAGUACAGUGAAGAAUUUUCUUAGCUGCAUUUAAGUGAGACUGAGCUGGUGUCUCCAUAUAUCUGCUAAUAAGUCCUACUGAGUAUAUCCGGUCUAGUACAUGUCAAAUACCUCAAGCUUCCUACUAAGCUUUUAAAGUAGGUUGGAUCAACAUUACCUACUUUACUCUUCUUCAAUUCCACUCCAUUCUCAACUGGAGUUGAUACCCGAUUGCAUCUUUCUAGCUUGAACAUUUCAAGAAUAUCUUUGGCGUAAUUGCUUUGAGAUAUAAAAAUCCCUUCUUCUUUAUGCGUCACUUCAAAACCAAGAAAAUGUGUCUUUAGACCAAUGUCUGUCAUCUCAAACUCCUGUACCAUGCUUUUCUUAAAAUCUUCAAACAUGGUAGAUUGUUGCCGGUGAAUAUCAAGUCAUCAACAUAUAGGCAUGUAAAUAAUGUGCUUCCAUCAACUUCUUUCUUCACAUAUAUUGCGUGCUCAUAUGGACAUUUAUCAAAUCCAUUUUCUUGAAAAUACCUGUCAAUUUUGGUAUUUCAAGCACGCGGAGCUUGCUUCAAACCGUAGAGGGCUUUCUUCAACUUCUAUACUUUGCCUUCAUUUUCGGCUUCAACGUAUCCAAGUGGUUGUUCAACAUAGAUCUCUUCUUGUAGGAAGCCAUUUAAAAAUGCUGACUUCACAUCGAGUUGAUAGAUCUUCCAUCUAUGUUGUGCAGCUAGUGAGAUCAUUAGUCUAAUUGUCUCUAGCUGGGCUACGGGAGCAAAUAUUUCUCCAUAGUCAAUGCCUUCUCUCUUUUUGUAGCCUUUUGCCACCAAUCUUGCUUUCUAUCUUUGUACUUCACCUUUUGCAUUCUUCUUCGUCUUAUAGAUCCAUUUGACACCUAUUGCUUUCUUGUUGUCUAGUAGAUUAGUCAGCUUCCAGGUAUCAUUCUUUUCAAUGGCAUGCAUUUCUUCAUCCAUUGCUUCAAUCAAUUUCUCUUAUGUGACAACUUCAUUGAAACUAAGUGGGUCACUAUCUGCAAAGAAACAAAAUAAAGUUGUAUCUUCAAUGACUUGAGUGGCCUCGUAUAACUCUUCUAGAUUUCUCAUCCUUCUUGGUGCUUCUUAUGAGGAUGCUGAUGAUGGUGUUGAUGAUGAUCCUGGUGUGUUUCUCUUGUUAAAUACAGGGGAUCUUUGUACCGGACUUUGUGGCUCAUUUGCUGGUAAUAUUGGACCUUCUGCAAGUACUGUUGGUACUUCCACUUCAUCUUCAAGGAUCAAAUCAGUGCUUAUCCAUUUAAUUGCUUCUUGGUCAUCAUUCCAUUGCCAAGUUUUAUCUUCUUCAAAGAUAACAUCUUUACUCAUAAUUACCUUAUUUGUGAUGAGAUUAUACAGCUUGUAUCCCAUCCUUCUAUCACCAUAUCCGACAAAGAUGCAUUUCUCGCUUUUAUCAUUAAGUUUGUUCAUUCUUGCAUCUGGGAUCUUUGCAUAUGCCACACAACCAAAGACUCGUAGAUGAGUAACACUUGGUUUGUGACCACUCCAUGCUUCUUCUGGAGUGACAACUUGCAAACUUCUGGUUGGGCAGCGAUUCAUUAGAUACACUGCACAUGAUACAACUUCAGCCCAGUAUUGUUUGAGCAUCUUCUUUUCUUUGAGUAAACUUCUUGCCAUGUCAAGAAUCGUUCCAUUCUUUCUCUCAGCUACACCAUUCAAUUAUGGUGUAUAGGCUGGCGUUGUCUGAUGCCUUGUUGUGUACAAAAGGCUUCAAAGUCAUUUGAAGUAUAUUCUCCACCUUGAUCAGAUCUCACAGUUCUGAUCUUAUAGACACUUUGCUUCUCAACAAUUGCUUUAAAAUCUUUAAAACAAUUCAACACUUCUGACUUCCUCUUCAGAAAGUAUAUCCAUGUUUUCUUGCUGAAAUCAUCAAUGAAAGUAAGGAAGUACCUAUUUUGUCCAGUUGAUAUAGGCUUUAUGGGACCACACACAUCUGUGUGCAUUAACUCCAAUGACUUAUUUGCUUUCCAGUUGACUUCUUUGGAAAAACUAGAUCUGUGAUGUUUGUUGAGGACACAACUCUCACAGACUUCAUCUGGAUGAUCAAUGUGGGGCAUACCUUUGACCAUCUUCUUGCUUGCUAGCAUCUUCAAACUUGUGAAAUUUAGAUGUCCAAGCCUUAGGUGCCAGAGCCACUCUUAAUUGUUGGUGAUGACACUCAAACACUUUGCUGCAUCAUAUUAAAUGUUUAAAGGAAACAUCCUAUUUUUGGACAUCUUCACAUAGGCAAUUAAUCUCCCGUUGUAGUCUUUGAUCGUCAGAUGACAAUUCUUCAUGAAAAGAGUAUAACCUUCUCCAGAAGUUGACCUACACUCAACAUAGUUGGCUUGUUCACGUACCUCUAAUGGAGCUUUCCUUCGACAUUCAGUGCUAUAGUGCCAAAAUUGAUUGCAACUAUAGCACUGGAUAUUCCUCUUGUCAUGGUUAUUGUAACCGCCUCCUCUUCUUCUAGGUGUAAAUGCUUGUUGUCCUCGGCCUUGCCUUAUCUUCGUUUCUUUUCAUAAUCUUUUGCUCAUGAGCUUGCAAAGAACUCAUAAGCUCAUCCACCAUCAAUUUGUCCACUUCUUUGGACUCUUUAAUAUCGACAACAAUAAAAUCAAAUUUUGGAUCUAGGGAUCUCAAAAGCUUCUUAGUAAUCCAAGCAUCUGUAAGGGCUUCUUCAUUUCUUCUCAUUUGAUUGACUAUCACCAUAAUUCUUGUGUGAUAAUCAGAAAUAGAUUUCGAGGACUUCAUUUGUAAUAAUUCAAAUUCACCUCGCAUAGAUUGGAGACAAAUCUUCUUAUUCUGUCAGCACCUUUGUAUUUUUGUUGGAGAGCCUUCCAUAUCUCUUUUGAUGUUUCUGCAAAAGCAAUAAUCUCAAAUAUGGCUUCAUCAAGACCUUGAUAGAUGAUGGUCUUUGCUUUGUUGUCUUUCUUUCUAUUGGCUUUGAGGACUUGCUUCUGUGCCUCUUGUAGAGCAUCUUCUUCUUAUUUGGACUCUGGUUCGUCAUAACCAUAUUGCACAAUCUCUAAACACUAUUGUGAACCAAGAAAUGCUUUCAAUUUGAUACACCAACUAUCCUAAUUGUCUUUGGUCAGCUUCAGGAUGAGUGUUUGUGCAUUUUCUGUAGCCAUUUUACUCUUUGAAUGACUGUAUCACCUUCUGAGAGUUGAAUUUGGAAAAACGGACAUUGUAGAUGGAUCCGGAAUGACCAAAAUAGUAGGUAACCAGUCUGAUUUGGUUGAAAUGGGUUAGAAAUGGGCUGAACUGGUUAAAACACUGAUUUUGGAUGUUGGUCGGUUGACUGGGUUGAACCGGGAAUAUUCUUCAGCGCGGCUUGCGGCUCAGCUCCGGAAUAACAACUUGGCAGCUCGACUCGGUUGAAAUAUGGCGCGUGUGUACUCCAGUCAUCGUUUUCCUCUGAGCGCGUCGGCUAAGAGUGGGCUAUAAUGCUAUACUUUUAGGCGGAGCAUGUUGUCCACCUCUUGCUCUGAUGAAUCUAAUUUUUACACCGUUGAGUUUGUAUUGAUGAACCCUACACGGUGGAAUGAUCAAAAAGUGUUUUGGACAACUUUAAAAAAUCGGAUGUAUCCCAACAACGCCUCUGUUUUUGUUAAGAACAAGGCUCUGAUACCAUUUGUUGGUGGGAGAGACCACUGGUGGUGGCUUUGAAACACUUAGAGGGGAUAAAACACAUGGUUUUAUUACAACAACAAAAAGCUUACAAAAUAAAUAAAAGCUCUUAAACACACCUUGUCUUUCUCUCUAGUGUUUCUCUCUUAUAUUUUCCACACACAAUAACAUAAACUUAGUUGUCUAUUUAUACACAAAUUGAAAGUAAGAAGAAUCAAAGUUCAAGUGUCAACAUAUAUAGUUGUUGGUGCUGUGAAUGCGGAUGGCGGUGUGAGAAGGCGGCUGGCGGUGACUGCAGGCGGUGGCUGCCAUCUUUGACUUUUUGGAUUGAGUUUAAUGCAACACCGGGCAGAUUUUGUUGACAAAAAGGUAUGCUAUUUUUUUUGGUAAAUAAAGGGUUCAUCUUUUUUGUUUUUGAUUUUGUUUUGAUUUGAGGUAUGACUUGAUUAAACCCACAUUGCAAUUUUAUCGGUUUCUGAGAAUUAGAAUUUUACAUCAUCAGUACAAUUUAGCCCUAAGACUAAUAUCAAGGAAAAUAUUUGUGUUAUAUGAAUAUGCAGAUAUAUGACCUCGGGAGGAACAUAUAGACAACAAAAGGAGAAGAUCAGGAGUCAGCCAAGAAGGAUUUCAUUGACAGCCUCAAGCUGUUGGAAGGAGAGCUUGGAGACAAGCCUUACUUUGGGGGCGAGACCCUCGGCUACAUUUAUGUUAAGGACCACAUGACAAAGGAAGUGCUUCUUUCCAGUUGGAGUAGAGAUGGUUUAUAUGUUUUGUCUGAGUCGUCUGCAACGUCAUUGCCUCAGGUUUUCUCAUCUACAUGUCUCUCUACUUCCGCUGAUGUCUGACAUCGUUGAUGUGGGCAUCCCAGUCCAUGUAUUCUGCAUUUUUUAUGCCAGAAUGAUGAUUCUGCCAGCAUCUACUUGUAAAAGCCAAAGGCCUUGUUUGAUAAAAUUGGUACGGCUGGCAGACCGAUCUCCUUGGCAGAAUUCAACUAAUGUAAAACCUCCAGGCGAAAAAUCAUAAAUUGACUAGUUUCAUGUAAAACAAAACAAAAUUCAUAACUCUUGAUUGAUCUAUUAGAAAAUUCUGAAAAUUUGUGUGAAGUCUUCUAAGAUGAUGCCUUAGCUUGGGUUAAAAUUUCAGAAUUUUUAGAGAAAUUCAGAAAGUUGACGAAAAAUCAUAAUUUGACUAGUUUUACGUUAUUGGACGUAAGUUUUAAUCCGACCAUCAGAUUGAGCUGAAAUUUUAUGAUGAACCUUAAAAUAUAUUGAAUAAAAUCUGGUUAAAAUUUUAGGAUGAACGGAGAGUGCUAGCAAAAAAAUAAGGACAGUCAAAUAAAAGGAAAAUACUCAUUAAGGGUAAAAUGGUUAUUUGCCAUUAAAAAGAAAACAAAUAAACUCUCAUUCUCUUUUAUAAACUGCCGACUGGGCAGAAGAAAAAUAUGAAAAGAAAGAACAGAAAAGAACGUGAGAGAAAGAGAGAAAAGUAAGGAAAAACAAUAAGAAAAUUGAGAGAAUAACCUUGUAAACUUGCAAGUUCAACUUAUAAAAUACUAAAUCAAGUGAAGGAAGGAGGAAUUGAGAAAGGGAAUUCGACUAACUUUGGAAGAGAAGAGAAAUUAAUUGGAAGAAAGUCAAAAGGUAAGCAUGAGAAGUUUGGAUUUAAUGUUUGAUUUAUAUGUUUUUUUUAAAGCUUACUUGAUUAAGUUAGGAAGUAAUUUCAUGGAAUUUUACUUUAAUUUCCCUUAAAUCCUUGAUUCUUGAACUUAGGGUUCUUAUGUGAAUUUGGGGGAAUUAGGAGGGGAAGGAAAAAUGAUGAAGUUGAAGUGGAGUAGAAUGAAAAAAAGUUGAAAUAACAAGUAAAUGAAGAAAAAUUUGGGGGAGGAAAAGAAACAUCACAUUCGACCAAAUGAAGAAAAAAGUGGAAGAAUGAGUUUUGAUGUUAAUGUUUAGAAAACCAUGUUUAAUCAUGAUAUUUGAAAUAUGUAAGAAAAAAUAGCGCUCAUGAGGUAAAACAAGACACAAAAUAAAAAUGUUGAAUGAUUCCAGGAAUGAUGAAUAGAGACAUAAUAAUAGAAUGUUAAAUGAGAAUCUCAAAGAACUGUGAUUGCUCAUCGUUGAAUAUAUGUUUAAUUACCUAUGCAUGUAUUAUGUGAUUUUCCUUCUAUGCUAUAUUUUAUUCUUACUAUAUUUAAUCUAUACAUUAUGAAAUUGCAGGUCCUUCAGAUUCACGCCAGGAGUAGUGUUUUAGGUCUAGUCUCCUUUUGUAUGAUUAAAUAAAAAGAUGAACAUUAAUGUAUUUUGUCUUUAAGGAACUAAAUAACUUAAUAUGUAAUAGUACUCCUUUUACAUUAAGUGUCAAGACAUAAAAAUAUACUAUUUUGUAUUUGUAAUCUUAAUGUUUGUUUACUUUCAUUUAUUAUGAAUUAUGUGUGUUAAUGGUAAAGAAAUGAACAUGUGAAAUGUUAUGCAUGUACAAUGAAUGAUGUGUUGUUGAGGUUCUACAUGAUUAUGAUAUGAUUGAGAAAUGAGUAUAAUUGUACAGGAUGAUUGUCGAUAACUUGGGACCUCCAGGUAUAAGGGAAACUCUGCCGAAAUUUCGGCGGGAAUUUCGGCAAGUCUUAGAUAAGUUUGAUGGAAGAAAAAAAAACCCCAUUUUUUUAAGUUAUGGCUCAAAGUUCUUUUAUGAAUGUAUUAAAUUACGGGGUGUUACAAGGACACUGGUUCUCCUCUGGUUCUCCCUCUCGGACAAUAGGAAAUUUUGGGCAGCAAGGUAACCCUUUUUGUGGGUAUAAUCGCAAUGUAAAGUGUCAGCUGUGUUAUGAAUAUGGGCAUACUGCCCAACAGUGUUCUCGGUUGGCUACUCAUCCUCUCCAAGCCAAUGCCAAUCUCGUAUUUAAUAAUGCCUUUACAACUACUCUUGUCACUUGGUUUCCUGAUACAGGUGGAAAUCAUCAUGUAACGCCGGAUCUUGCGAGCAUGAUGAGUUCAAAACCUUACCUUGGUAAUGAUCAUUUGCAUGUGGGUGAUGGUUGUCGCACCCUCCCGAGAGCUCGACGUCGCGGCGACCCGUCCUCGUAGCCGUGAUUGAUUGUUGGGGUCUUUCUGUUGUGAAAAAGGGAGUCGCCACCUAGUAUUAAGGUCACUAGAAAACCUAACUGGUCUUUCAGAGAUCCUAAGGCAAGGGACUGGUUGCGUAAAGGGAAGGUUUUAGCACCCCUAGUACGCCCUACCUAAGGUAAGCUGCUUGGUGUUUGAUUUGCCUUAUAACUGUCAUGGUGUUGAUGUUCUCUAAUCCCAUCCGUUUCCUAGGAUAAGUCUGCUCUGAUGAACGAAAUCUAGGGUGCUUUAAAAACCUAUUUUUGUCUUAAUGUUUUGUACUCUCACGGCUCGCAAACCGUGGAGUAAAAAAUUUUGAAAUGUCCUCGAUUAUAAUCAAGGCUUCUUUCAAGGAUGUGUGUAGAUUUAUUAUUCCUAGAAAAUUAUUUUGGAUAUUUACCACUCCGGGUUUCUUUAUCCAAAUAUUAAAAGUGAAUAAUAACAAAUUAUCCCCAAUAAUAUUUUGGAUAUUCGUCCUAUAAGGAUUUCUUUAUCCAAACAUUAGUGGUGAAUAAUAACAAAUUAUCCCCAAUAAUAUUUUGGAUAUUCGUCCUUUAGGGAUUUAUUUAUCCAAACAUUAGUGGUGAAUAAUAACAAAUUAUCCCCAAUAAUAUUUUGGAUAUUCGUCCUUUAGGGAUUUCUUUAUCCAAACAUUAGUGGUGAAUAAUAGAUGAAUUCCCCAAAAAUAAGAUUUUUAUAUUUUUUGGAAUAUUGGCCAAUACCCUUUGGAGUUUUACAAACAUGUUGUAAAAUCCAGAAAUGCAAGAAAAAUGAUUUUUGUUGUGUUUAAGAAAUCCAUGCGAAAACACAUUUUUGAAACUUCAAAUAUUUGUUUUUUAGAUAAAAAAAACGUAAAAACAAUGUUAGGGUAUUGGCCGUAUGCAUGAAAACAAAACAUUUUUUUUAAUAAACAUUUUUUUUUGUUGACGAAAACCGGGUAUUUUAAUACCGGAUUUGUAUAUUUACAGUAUAAAAAUACAAACCGAUAUUGACCAAAAUACAGUAAUAAAAUUACAGAAAAAUCACAAAUUCUUUGAAAUAAUUUUUGAAGAAUUUUUAUUUUUUAUUAUUAUUAAUUUUUUUUUUGGGCUGGGCCCAUGUGGCUGGGCUGAACCCAGCAGCCCUCACGUGAACAGUGAAAUAACAUUUCACUGAAUUAUUUUUGAAGUGAACAGUGAAAUAGCAUUUCACUGUUCAAGUGAAUUAUAUUUCACUUGAACAGUGAAAUGCAAGGAAAUGUACAGCGACGAAGGGGGCAAACCUGGUGGCGGUGGAGAGGAAGUGCUCUGUUCCUGGUAGUGUUGGUGUCGCGGCGGCUGGCUGUGACGGUGGUCGGUGGCUGAGGAUGACGGUGUGCUUCCGGUGAUUGCAGCGGUGGAGGCCGGCGUUGGAAGUAGAGGAAGAAAUCUGCAGAAAUUGGGCGAAAAUGCUGGUUUUUUGGCUGACUUUGGACCCGAUUUUCUCCUCCCCCAGGUCUUCAACAGAGAUUCUAUUUAUAGGCGGUUUAAGAGGGCCAUAUUGUCUAUAUUGGGGAAAGUUUUCAGCCCUUGAUCCGACUCGAGGAAUCCAAACCGUUGGUUCAAAGUGUGCACCUCGAGCUGCCAAAUUUGGCAGCUCAAGGCUGUGAACUGCCCGAGGUGGCCACUUAGAGCCACUCAACGGAGCUGUUUCUAAAUUUUUCAAACCGACCGGACCAUCCUCCGGGAUAAAGGGGUUUCAGGUGGACAUGUUGGUGCAUGUUUUGUCGGAUUUGAAGGCCAUACGAGCCGGAAAAUGCGCCUGGAAAGCAGCCACUCGGGCACCUUUUCGAGGAAGAAAGUGAACAGUAACUGGUUCAUUUUUUUUUAAAUGCAAAACGGCGCCGUUUUUUAUAAAAAUAGGGAUUUCUUUGCCAAUUCUCAAUUUAGUCCUCCGACUUUCAGUUUCGUUCAAUCUCAUCCCUACUUGACCAUUAAACUUUCAAUUUCUUCAAUUUGGCCCCCGAAUUUUGUUAAUUGCAGCCCCUAUACUUGCGCGCCUUUUCCAAUGUGGUCCUUGGUUUUGGAUUUCUUCAAUUAAGUCCCUAAUUGGCCCUUAAACUUCAAUAUUUAUGCAAUUAAGCCCUUGAUUUAACCAAAUCAACUCUCAAAAAUUAUAAUUUGACCCCAGAACUUUAAUUUCUUCCAAUUAAAGCCUAAAUUGACUUAAAACUCAAUUUUCCUUGCAAUCAAAACCUCUAUAAAUUCAAAUAAACCUUCAAUAAAAUCCAAUUGAGUCCAUAAACAUCCAAUUUUGGCCCUUUUCUCUUCAAAUUAAAUUUUCUCUUCCAACAGGGCUCUUCUCAGUCAAAUAUAUACUGUAAAAUUUCACUCCUUGCAUUUCUGAACCUCCUCAAUCAAUUUUUUUUUGAUUCUUUCUGAGCGCUCCCACCUCUUAUUAUUUUUCUAAUCUCCUUUGGCUUUUUAUUUUUGUUUUUUGUGGGGACCCAAAAAUGGGUUACAACAGAUGCCCCCUCUUUAUAAUGCUUACGGAGCAAGGGUUUUGCGCAGUAAGUUUUAUAAAGAUAAACCCAAAACGGAACUCCCGAAACUGAUCUGGUCGAAGUUUGAUUCAUCUGAAACUUGUCUUUUACAGCAAUCCUCCUUAGCCCCCAAAAACUAUGAUCAAAAUUUAGUCAUCUUGAGAUCCCUUCUGGCCAUCUCCUUUGAAUUCUCACUUCAGUUUGAUCAACAUGGAAUUCCAUCCGAGAUCCCUUCCGGCUGUCUCUAAAAAGUCAUAUUUGUAGUUUGUCCAAACUGAAAUCCCAUCUGGCGAUUUCCCUUAGCCAAAGCUAAAAUCGGUAUUACGGUUGGGUUAACCUGAGAUCCCUUCUGGCGACCUCCUUAGCCAAAACCUAUAUUUGUAGCUUACUCACUUUGGAAUCCCAUCCGGUGAUUCAAAACUAAACUCUGUGGGGUUGGGUUAACCUGAGAUCCCAUCUAGCGAUCUCCUUUAACCACAACCAAAACAAAAAAAUGUGUGUGGUCUCAUUAUGAUGGGUGACCUACCCGAGUGGAGAAGGGGAAGAGUGGUCUCAUUCUUAUGGGUGACCUACCCAAAGGGGAAGAAUGGCCUCAUUAUUAUGGGUGACCUACCCAAGUAAAAAAAGAUGGAGAAUGGUCUCAUUCUAAUGGGUGACCUACCCAGAAAAAAAAUGAUGGUCUCAUUGUGAUGGGUGACCUACCCAAGUGGAAAAGGAAAGAGUGGUCUCAUUCUUAUGGGUGACCUACCCAGGGGGAAGAAUGGCCUCAUUAUUAUGGGUGACCUACCCAAGUAAAAAAAAGAUGGAGAAUGGUCUCAUUCUAAUGGGUGACCUACCCAGAAACAAAAUGAUGGUCUCAUUGUGAUGGGUGACCUACCCAAGUGGAAAAGGAAAGAGUGGUCUCAUUCUUAUGGGUGACCUACCCAGGGGGAAGAAUGGCCUCAUUAUUAUGGGUGACCUACCCAAGUAAAAAAAAAAUGGAGAAUGGUCUCAUUCUAAUGGGUGACCUACCCAGAAACAAAAUGAUGGUCUCAUUGUGAUGGGUGACCUACCCAAGUGGAAAAGGAAAGAGUGGUCUCAUUCUUAUGGGUGACCUACCCAGGGGGAAGAAUGGCCUCAUUAUUAUGGGUGACCUACCCAAGUAAAAAAAAGAUGGAGAAUGGUCUCAUUCUAAUGGGUGACCUACCCAGAAACAAAAUGAUGGUCUCAUUGUGAUGGGUGACCUACCCUAGUGGAAAAGGAAAGAGUGGUCUCAUUCUUAUGGGUGACCUACCCAGGGGGAAGAAUGGCCUCAUUAUUAUGGGUGACCUACCCAAGUAAAAAAAAGAUGGAGAAUGGUCUCAUUCUAAUGGGUGACCUACCCAGAAACAAAAUGAUGGUCUCAUUGUGAUGGGUGACCUACCCAAGUAAAAAAAAGAUGGAGAAUGGUCUCAUUCUAAUGGGUGACCUACCCAGAAACAAAAUGAUGGUCUCAUUGUGAUGGGUGACCUACCCAAGUGGAAAAGGAAAGAGUGGUCUCAUUCUUAUGGGUGACCUACCCAGGGGGAAGAAUGACCUCAUUAUUAUGGGUGACCUACCCAAGUAAAAAAAAAGAUGGAGAAUGGUCUCAUUCUAAUGGGUGACCUACCCAGAAACAAAAUGAUGGUCUCAUUGUGAUGGGUGACCUACCCAAGUGGAAAAGGAAAGAGUGGUCUCAUUCUUAUGGGUGACCUACCCAGGGGGAAGAAUGGCCUCAUUAUUAUGGGUGACCUACCCAAGUAAAAAAAAAGAUGGAGAAUGGUCUCAUUCUAAUGGGUGACCUACCCAGAAACAAAAUAAUGGUCUCAUUGUGAUGGGUGACCUACCCAAGUGGAAAAGGAAAGAGUGGUCUCAUUCUUAUGGGUGACCUACCCAGGGGGAAGAAUGGCCUCAUUAUUAUGGGUGACCUACCCAAGUAAAAAAAAGAUGGAGAAUGGUCUCAUUCUAAUGGGUGACCUACCCAGAAAAAAAUGAUGGUCUCAUUAUGAUGGGUGACCUACCUAAGUGGAAAAGGAAAGAGCGGUCUCAUUGUAAUGGGUGACCUACCCAAGAUAAAGGAAAGAGCGGUCUCAUUGUAAUGGGUGACCUACCCAGGUGGAAGAAUGGUCUCAUUGUAAUGGGUGACCCACCCAAAAAAAACAUAGAGAAUUGGUCGCAUUGUAAUGGGUGACCUACCCAGAAAAAUGUUGACAAUGGCUCAAAGGCGCACUUGAAAGGAGGUAGGGUUAGAAAACACACUACCUAAGAAGUGAGGGCUCAAAGGCGCGCUCAAAAGGAGGUAGGGUUAAAAAACACACUACCUGAAUGGUGGUGGCUCAAAGGCACACUCGGAAUGAGGUAGGGUUAGAAAACGCACUACCUAAGAAGUGAGGGCUCAAAGGCACGCUCAAAAUGAGGUAGGGUUAGAAAACGCACUACCUGAGAAAUGGUGAUGAAACACCGAUCUGACACAUGUUGAAAGCAAUGCAUUAUGGUCAAUAUGCAUGUAUGUUUUUGUUACCUAUCUUGGAAACAUAGGUCCCCCUUUCAUCGUAAACUUCUUCGAGCUCUUGUUUCAACCUUUUCUCAUGAACUGAAAUAUACCAUAUCCUCUUAAUGAAGAGAUCUCUGGUUUCUUAUGGGGCCCUUUCUUGCUUCAUUGAGUAUUGUGCUUUAUUAUUAUUUCAAAAGGAAAACACAAAAGAUUUGGUUUUGUUCAUGAAAACUGAAACUUUCAAUGCAAUUAUCAAUUCUCAUAAAAGAUGCUUUUUUUAGAAGUUUUUUAUUACGAUACCCCUUUUGGGCUUUGGUUCACUAUGGACCCCUAUGUGCACUUCGUGCACUUCUUGCCCCCUAGUGUGGUGUACAUAAAUAUGCCAAGUUUUAGAUUUGAUUUGAUUCUCUCCAAUUGAUGGAGUCAUCUCCUUAGUCAUGUGUAAGAAAAGAGUUUGUUUAAGUAAAAUAUUUCAAAUGCGAUGAGAUCAUGCUUUUUAUGAAGAAAGGUUUAGAAAAUUCAUGGCCAAACUUUAUUUUAUUGAUUGGGAGAUUACGGAAUACAUCAAGCGUAAUAUUUCCUUACAGAGUCAGAAUUCACUAGCCUAACUAAAUCUUCUCCAUCCAUUCUAGAUAACAGCAAAGCUCCUCCCAAGAAUGCUUUCUUCACCACGUAAGGGUCCUCAUAGUUCGGCGCCCAUUUACUCUGAUCUUCUCCUGGUAAAGGCAAUAUUUUCUUCAGUACAAGAUCUCCUUCGUGGAAUCCUCGAGGUCGAACCUUUUUGUCGUAUGAUUUGGCCAUCCUUCUUUGGUAAAGUUGAUGAUGACAGAUUGCGGCUAUCCUCUUUUCACUGAUCAGAUUCAGCUGUUCAUAUCUAACUUUUGCCCAUUCUACCUCUUCCAGCUCAGAGUCUACCAGUACUCUCAAUGAGGGGAUUUCCACUUCCAAAGGCAUAACUGCCUCCAUUCCAUAUACCAACGUGUACGGGGUGGCUCCUAUUGAGGUUCGGACUGUGGUGCGAUACGCAUGAAGGGCAAAUGGCAACAUCUUAUGCCAAUCCUUAUAGGCGACUACCAUCUUCUGAAUAAUCUUUUUGACAUUCUUGUUAGCAGCUUCUACCGCACCAUUCAUCUUUGGUCUAUACGGUGAAGAGUUGGAAUGCUUGAUUUUCCAUUUAGUGCAGAGUUCUAUUAUCAUCUUGCCAUUGAAAUUCUGGGCAUUAUCAGUUAUAAUCUUUUCUGGUGGACCAUAUCGACAAAUCAAAUCUCUCUCAAUAAAUUUCUUCACUACUUUUUGCGUCACAUGAGCAAAUGACCCGGCUUCUACCCAUUUUGUAAAGUAGUCGAUAGCUACGAGAAUAAACCUAUGACCAUUGCUGGCUUUUGGGUUUACAGGUCCAAUCACAUCAAUUCCCCACAUCGCGAAGGGCCAUGGAGAUGUCAAGUUAAAUAAAGGAGUUGGAGCGGCGUUGAUUUUGUCACUGUAUACUUGGCACUUAUGACAUUUUCGGACAUAGUCGAUGCAAUCCUUUUCUAAUGUCAUCCAGAAGUAGCCGGCUCUUUGUAUCUUCCUAGCCAUCACAUGUCCAUUAGCAUGGGUUGAGCAAAUCCCUUCAUGGACUUCUCGUAACGCGCUUUUUGCCUCAAAUUCAUCCAAACAUCUCAACAAAGUCCCGUCGAAUGAUUUCUUAUACAAAAUCUCCCCAUCAAGAUAAAAAUCCAUUGCCAACCUCCUCAAGGUCUUCUUGUCGAUUUUGGAUGCCCCCAUGGGAUAUGUCUGGUUUUGGAUGAAAUUCUUGACAUCAUAGUACCAAGGGUUUCCAUCCACUUCUCUUUCGACUGAGCAACAAUGAGCUGGGUUAUUUCUGAUAUUGAUGUGUACUGGUUGUACCUUGUGCCCAAAGUCUAUUUUGGCCAUAGAUGCUAGUGUAGCCAAAGCAUCUGCAAACUGGUUUCCUUCCCUUCCUAGAUGGGUGAACUCUAUUUCCUCAAAUUCUCCAGCCAGUUUAGACAAAUAUUCUUGGUAAGGCCUUAACUUCUCUUCCUUGGUUUGCCAUUCUCCUUUUACUUGGCAAAUGAUCAACAUUGAGUCUCCAUACACAUCUAUCUUUCUGAUGUUUAGCUCCAAUGCAGCCUCUAAACCGAGAAUGCAAGCUUCAUACUCAGCCGUGUUGUUGGUGCACCCGAACUGUAGCUUAACUGAAACCGGAUACUGCUUCUUAUCAGGAGAGAUUAUCACCGCACCCACUCCGUUACCACAUACAUUUACAGCACCAUCAAAGUACAUAAUCCACCAAUUUGAUUUCUCUUCCUCGAUUGAAAGCACAUCUUCAUCGGGAAAUUCAAAGUCUAAUGAUUCAUAAUCUUCUAUAGCAUGGUCAGCCAGGUGAUCGGCAAUAAUACUCCCUUUUACAGCUUUCCUUGUCAUAUAUACUAUGUCAUACUCAGCCAAUAGAACUUGCCAUCUUGCAAUUCGGCUUGAUAAAUAGGGCUUUUCACAAAUGUACCUCAACGGGUCUAAUUUGGAAAUUAACCACGUGGUGUGAUACAACAUAUACUGACGUAAUCUCUUUGCAGCCCAUGACAGUGCGCAACACAGCUUCUCAAUCACAGUAUACCUAGACUCACAUUCCGUGAACUUCUUGCUUAAGUAAUAAAUGGCCCUUUCCUUCCUUCCGGUUUCAUCGUGUUGCCCAAGCACACAUCCCAUUGCUGUUUCUGUUACUGUUAGGUACAAUAUCAAUGGCCUUUCUGGUACAGGAGGAACAAGCAGGGGUGGAUUCAACAAGUACUGCUUGAUUUUCUCAAAAGCCUCUUCGCACUCCUUAUUCCAAAUUCCAAAUUCCAGGGUUCUUCUUUCUUAACAAACGAAAAAUCGGGUCCCAAGUCGUGGUUAAUUGGGAUAUAAACCGAGCAAUGUAAUUCAAUCUUCCUAAGAAACCUCUCACAUCCUUCUCAGUCUUGGGAGGUGGCAUAGAUUGAAUAGCUUUUACUUAACCGGGGUCCACUUCUAUCCUUUUAUCACUCAUCAUAAAUCCCAACAACUUCCUAGAUUUCAACCUGAAUUAACACUUUGUGGUUAAGCCUCAACUUAUACUUCUUUCGAGACAAAUCCUUCAAUAUUUGGACAUGAUUCUCUCUUUCUCUAGGUUUAGCAAUCAUGUCAUCCAUAUCUUCAAUUUUUCUCUUAUUUUUUUCAUUGCCCGAAUCUAUGGUUUCAAGCUCCUCUCUGGCGGGUUUCCGAGCUUGUUCACGUUGUCCUAUUUUCAUCUACAUCUUCCUCUUCUAUAGCUACUAUGUAUUCUUAAGUUUGGCCAUUCAUUCUCAGUGUAAAGUGUAGAUGUUUGUUUUGAAAGAUCCGAUUUGAAAAUGGAAAGUGAUGUGUAAAAACAUCAAGAUGAACUUUUGAAAAUGCAUGAUCUCAUUAAAGGAAAAAUUGUCUCAAAACAUUUGCUUGAGCAAACCGAUUAGAUGCGCAACAUCAUUCCAAACUCCUUCAAGCUUUCUCUGGUACUGAGCUUUUGGGUGUAACCUUUCUUCAUUUUCCAACCUUUUCUCUAAUUGAGUGUCGUGGAUUCUAGAAGGGGGACCUAUGUUUCUCAGUCUGCAUAUGCGUGUAUAGAUGUAUAAGAAAAUGCAUGAUAUAAUGCAUGAUUGUGAUAAGAAUACAUUUGUAUAUUGGGUAUGGAUGCAACUUUCUUGUGAACGAAUAAUAGCCACCACCUUAUAAACAUAGGUUCUUUUGUCACAUUGCUAGGAGUACUACCUUUCAAGUCGUUUGCUUGAAUCAUAUUCACCAAGAGACAGAUUUUGCAUAAGAAGAUAGGUCAACGCCCUUUUCAUUAAUGCUUGAUAAGUUUAUUACAUUUAUAAAUGAAAAAAGGAAAUACAACAUAUUAAUCCCUUUCCUCCACAAACUCUCUAGCCAAAGGUAAAAAGGCAUAGCCGCGAUUCUCAAUCUUCCCUAGAAAGGCAUCAGUUUCAGCUAGGCUUCGGCGAUAACGAAUGAUGUCCCCUCCCACAUUCCGCGCAUUAAUUAUAAUAAUUCAAGCAUGUGCAGCAACUUCGUCCAUUUGCUCAUCUGUCUUGGUCAUCUUUUCUAUGAGCAACAUAUUGGUCUUGUUCAAAGCAGUGUUGUUGGAAAUGCUCUCCUUUUAUCCCCUUCUAGCAUCAUUUUUUUUCCAACAUUGUCUUGUCUUUUCUAUUUUUGCUCAACUCUAUCCAAAGUUUUUCCACUUGUCUUCUCAACUCUUCUUCAUUAUUGACCCUUUUCCUUUUAAGAGGCUCUUCUAUAGUUUGAGGAGAUUUGACUCCUACCCAAGGCAUGGCUGAAGAUGAUAAAUCUCUCCAUCUUGCAUAUCCUUCACUUGCACUUGGAUCCUUCAAACCUUCUAUCUCAACCAAAACUAGAUACUUCCAAUCUUGUUUGAUGAUCUCCAAGACUUCUUGUGCAAUGGGAUCUUUGAACAAACCAAAGAAUUGAGCAAUUCCCAUAGUCCUUGGAACAAAUUGCAUGCCCCCAAGUUGCUUUAUGACCAGGGCAGGAGCAUAACUCAUUAGGACUUUCACUGUCGUUACCCAUGGGGCUCUCCACUUGAAAUCACUAUUAGGCAAACCUUCUAAUUUGUCAACCCAACCUUGGUUGUCUAGAUCUCCCUAUUCUUCUUCUUCUACCAACUUCAGGGGUUUUUGGGUGAACCACCAAAAAUUAUUGAAGACAGGUUUUUUUGUUUCGAUAUGGCUAACCAUCCAGAUAUACAACAACUGCGUGCAACAUCUCAUUGCUCCUUUUCUGGUCCUCCUACAAUGAUUAAGCGUCAAGAUGGUUUCAGCUAAAAUAGCAGCCACUGGAUUGAUUUGUGUAUUUUCAUACUCUACAUAAGCAGCAGCGGCCUCCAAACUCACUAAACCCGUCUGACUUGGGAACAACACAAGGCCAAAUAUGCCCAAGGCAAUCAAUCUCUCCUUUUCUAAUCCUAACUUCUUUUCUAGUUCAAUUUCUAGCAUCCUCCAUUUCAGACCGGUAGCAUUCUUUUCCAAAAACUUUUCCAAGUUGGAGAUUCUGAGCAGUUUUGACAAUUCGGGGAUGAUCUUGUCCGAUCUCAAAGGCAAAUAAAUCUGAUACAGAUUGUUUGGAAACUCAGUCAAAACGUCCGUAUUUAUGGCUCGCACGGUAGUCUGGAUCAUAAGUCUAUGUUUCCAAAAGAAAAACACUGGUAGUCUGGAUCCCAAAAAUGAAUUAUGGCUCGCACGGCUGGGUUUAAAACUUCUACCCUGGCAAUUUCCAUCAAACGUCCGUAUUUAUUAAAAAAAUGCAUCCUUAUCCACAUCCUGAAAGUGAGUCGUUAACUUGUUCACCUCAUUCAUAAUGCAAUUCAGGUUCUUGAUUGGUGACAGUUUCUUAGCAUCGCUUCUAAGGCAGUCUCCUUCAGUCAAUUGUGACAGUUCAGAAUUUUUUAGCAAUGGUGGCCAUUUCGUUCACAAGUCCUGUGGUUCAAAAUGCCUUGGGGUUUGGAUGCAAAAGAUAUUAUGGAGCAUACAACCUUAAGGAUAGGUUCUAGUUCCUUUACGUGAGACAUAGGGUAGGUUUACUAUUUGGUCUCUAAAAAAGGGUCUCUUGCUGUCCCAGUGAUCGCCCUCGUAAAGGCAAUAUGGGGGUUCAGCAGAUAGUGGGAUGGCACAUGUACCAAUCACUAUCAGUCUAAACACUCAGCAAAGAGUUGGGGUUUACACAAACUUAAACCUUGACUCAAGUCAUAAGGCAAGCUGCUAGUCCCCCACCUAACUUAAAGUUUAAUGUGUGUGCCCUCAAAAAAGAUAAUAAUCAUAAAGUGAUGAAUGACUAUAUCAUGUAUGACAGAAUGUAAAGAUGCAUGCUAAAGCUUUUAAACAAAGUAUCAUUCAUAUAAGAAAACAACAACACAUGGCAAAACACAAACAAAAAAACAAUUACCAAGCUUAGUCCAAGGGUCCCCAGUGGAGUCGCCAUCCUGUCGCACCCUCCCGAGAGCUCGACAUCGCGGCGACCCGUCCUCGUAGCCGUGAUUGAUUGUUGGGGUCUUUCUGUUGUGAAAAAGGGAGUCGCCACCUAGUAUUAAGGUCACUAGAAAACCUAACUGGUCUUUCAGAGAUCCUAAGGCAAGGGACUGGUUGCGUAAAGGGAAGGUUUUAGCACCCCUAGUACGCCCUACCUAAGGUAAGCUGCUUGGUGUUUGAUUUGCCUUAUAACUGUCAUGGUGUUGAUGUUCUCUAAUCCCAUCCGUUUCCUAGGAUAAGUCUGCUCUGAUGAACAAAAUCUAGGGUGCUUUAAAAACCUAUUUUUGUCUUAAUGUUUUGUACUCUCACGGCUCGCAAACCGUGGAGUAAAAAAAUUUGAAAUGUCCUCGAUUAUAAUCAAGGCUUCUUUCAAGGAUGUGUGUAGAUUUAUUAUUCCUAGAAAAUUAUUUUGGAUAUUUACCACUCCGGGUUUCUUUAUCCAAAUAUUAAAAGUGAAUAAUAACAAAUUAUCCCCAAUAAUAUUUUGGAUAUUCGUCCUAUAAGGAUUUCUUUAUCCAAACAUUAGUGGUGAAUAAUAACAAAUUAUCCCCAAUAAUAUUUUGGAUAUUCGUCCUUUAGGGAUUUAUUUAUCCAAACAUUAGUGGUGAAUAAUAACAAAUUAUCCCCAAUAAUAUUUUGGAUAUUCGUCCUUUAGGGAUUUCUUUAUCCAAACAUUAGUGGUGAAUAAUAGAUGAAUUCCCCAAAAAUAAGAUUUUUAUAUUUUUUGGAAUAUUGGCCAAUACCCUUUGGAGUUUUACAAACAUGUUGUAAAAUCCAGAAAUGCAAGAAAAAUGAUUUUUGUUGUGUUUAAGAAAUCCAUGCGAAAACACAUUUUUGAAACUUCAAAUAUUUGUUUUUUAGAUAAAAAAAAACCUAAAAACAAUGUUAGGGUAUUGGCCGUAUGCAUGAAAACAAAACAUUUUUUUUAAUAAACAUUUUUUUUUGUUGACGAAAACCGGGUAUUUUAAUACCGGAUUUGUAUAUUUACAGUAUAAAAAUACAAACCGAUAUUGACCAAAAUACAGUAAUAAAAUUACAGAAAAAUCACAAAUUCUUUGAAAUAAUUUUUGAAGAAUUUUUAUUUUUUAUUAUUAUUAAUUUUUUUUUUGGGCUGGGCCCAUGUGGCUGGGCUGAACCCAGCAGCCCUCACGUGAACAGUGAAAUAACAUUUCACUGAAUUAUUUUUGAAGUGAACAGUGAAAUAACAUUUCACUGUUCAAGUGAAUUAUAUUUCACUUGAACAGUGAAAUGCAAGGAAAUGUACAGCGACGAAGGGGGCAAACCUGGUGGCGGUGGAGAGGAAGUGCUCUGUUCCUGGUAGUGUUGGUGUCGCGGCGGCUGGCUGUGACGGUGGUCAGUGGCUGAGGAUGACGGUGUGCUUCCGGUGAUUGCAGCGGUGGAGGCCGGCGUUGGAAGUAAAGGAAGAAAUCUGCAGAAAUUGGGCGAAAAUGCUGGUUUUUUGGCUGACUUUGGACCCGAUUUUCUCCUCCCCCAGGUCUUCAACAGAGAUUCUAUUUAUAGGCGGUUUAAGAGGGCCAUAUUGUCUAUAUUGGGGAAAAUUUUCAGCCCUUGAUUCGACUCGAGGAAUCCAAACCGUUGGUUCAAAGUGUGCACCUCGAGCUGCCAAAUUUGGCAGCUCAAGGCUGUGAACUGCCCGAGGUGGCCACUUAGAGCCACUCAACGGAGCUGUUUCUAAAUUUUUCAAACCGACCGGACCAUCCUCCGGGAUAAAGGGGUUUCAGGUGGACAUGUUGGUGCAUGUUUUGUCGGAUUUGAAGGCCAGACGAGCCGGAAAAUGCGCCUGGAAAGCAGCCACUCGGGCACCUUUUCGAGGAAGAAAGUGAACAGUAACUGGUUCAUUUUUUUUUAAAUGCAAAACGGCGCCGUUUUUUAUAAAAAUAGGGAUUUCUUUGCCAAUUCUCAAUUUAGUCCUCCGACUUUCAGUUUCGUUCAAUCUCAUCCCUACUUGACCAUUAAACUUUCAAUUUCUUCAAUUUGGCCCCCGAAUUUUGUUAAUUGCAGCCCCUAUACUUGCGCGCCUUUUCCAAUGUGGUCCUUGGUUUUGGAUUUCUUCAAUUAAGUCCCUAAUUGGCCCUUAAACUUCAAUAUUUAUGCAAUUAAGCCCUUGAUUUAACCAAAUCAACUCUCAAAAAUUAUAAUUUGACCCCAGAACUUUAAUUUCUUCCAAUUAAAGCCUAAAUUGACUUAAAACUCAAUUUUCCUUGCAAUCAAAACCUCUAUAAAUUCAAAUAAACCUUCAAUAAAAUCCAAUUGAGUCCAUAAACAUCCAAUUUUGGCCCUUUUCUCUUCAAAUUAAAUUUUCUCUUCCAACAGGGCUCUUCUCAGUCAAAUAUAUACUGUAAAAUUUCACUCCUUGCAUUUCUGAACCUCCUCAAUCAAUUUUUUUCUGAUUCUUUCUGAGCGCUCCCACCUCUUAUUAUUUUUCUAAUCUCCUUUGGCUUUUUAUUUUUGUUUUUUGUGGGGACCCAAAAAUGGGUUACAACAAUGGUUAGGGCUUUGUUAUUUCAAAUAUUACUCACUCUAAAAUUCAUUCACCGAAACGCAUGUUUACUUUAUCCAAUAUUUUAUAUGUUCCUGACAUUAAAAAACCUCUGUUAUUUGUUCAAAAGUUUUGUCUUGAGAAUAAUGUCUUCUUCGAAUUUCAUUCCUUUCUAUUUUAUGUUAAGGACCACAUGACAAAGGAAGUGCUUCUUUCCAGUUGGAGUAGAGAUAGUCUAUAUGUUUUGUUCGAGUCGUUUGCAACGUUAUUGCCUUAGGUUUUCUCAUCUACAUGUUUCUCUACUUUCGUUGAUGUCUGGCAUCAUUGACGUGGGCAUCCUAGUCCACAUAUUCUGCAUUUUUUGGUGAAAAAUAAAAAGGUGUCAUGUACGUCAAAUCAAUUUAAUUUUAAUUGUCCUACGUGCUUUCUGGGCAAGUCAUCUCAUCUGACUCUAAAAACUAUGGGUCAUCAAACUCGAGCUCCUCUUGACCUGAUUUUUAGUGAUGUUUGGGGUCCUUUCCCUAUGUUGUCAUCUAAUGGUUUUCACUAUUUUGUUAUCUUUGUGGAUGCUCAUACGAAGUUUAUAUGGUUUUAUACUAUGGUUGCUAAGUCUGAUGUUUUUAAUAUUUUUCAUUAGUUUCAGGUGCUCGUUGAGCGCCAAUUUUCUUUAAAAAUUAAAUCUGUUGAAACAAAUUGGGGUGGUGAAUAUCUAAAAGUUAAUACAUAUUUUAAAACAAUUGGUAUUCAUCAUCAUGUGAUAUGCCCGCACACUCAUGAACAAAAUGACAUGGUUGAACGCCGUCAUAAACAUAUUGUUGAAACUGGGCUUACUCUUCUUGGGCAAUGUAAGGCUCCCCUUAAUAUUGGAGUUAUGUUUUUGAAAGUUCUGUUUAUUUGAUUAAUCACAUGCAAACUCCGUUUCUUAAUCAUAAGACCCCUUUUGAAUGUCUUUUAAAAUCAUCUCAUGAUUAUGCUUUUCUUCGUACUUUUGGGUGUCUCUCCUUCCCAUUCCUUCGUCCAUACAAUGCUCAUAAGUUAGAUUUUCGUUCGUCUUCUUCUAUUUUUCUAGGAUAUAGUAACUCUCAUUUAGGUUAUCGAUGUCUUGACUUGUCAUCCAAAGGUAUUUAUCUUGUUCGUCAUGUCCGGUUUCAUAAAAAUGUUUUUCCUCAAAUCUUGCUCAUUGUACUCAUAAUUCACACCCUUCUCUUCUAAUACUAUUCUCACUCUCAUGCCGAAUAGGCUUCCCCUUGUAUCCAACAGUGUUACAACCAUUGUUGAAGUGGCAAAAACUUGUUCAACUAUGUGAAAGAAAGAAAUUCUUCAACUAUAUCAUCCAAUCCAAUUCUCAAUUGGGUCUAAAUAAGAAAGUCUCAUUAAUUCGAUCCUCCAUCUAUUGGGCAGUCCUCAAUUAGUCAUUUUUCUCAAAUUUAUCUUUAUUAAUUUAAAUCAUAAAUUUUGAUAGAGGGUUAAUUUGGUAAUGUUUGAUAGAUGAGGGAUUCAAUUGGAAAUUUGUUUUGUUUAGAAACUUAAUAGGUACUCAUGUGAUAGUUGGGGGACAAAUAUACCCUUUCCCUUCCUUUUUUUUUUUAAAAAAAUCAUCUCUGUGUUUGAAAUUAUUGUUACAAAGAAUUAAACACCAGUGGGUUGAUGUCCUAGAAUAUCAUGUGAUUUAGGUUUUAAAUUGAAUUAAAAAAAACAUUAAUAAUUUAAAACUUGGUUGAUAUAAGUUUUUUAGUCAUCUAUUGGCGUAAUUAAAUUUGACCAGGACAUAUCAAUGAAUAUUUUUUUAAAAAAUUUAUAUUAAUUUAUUAAAAUUAAUUAAUUUAGAUUGACAUGAAAAUCAACAACCUUUUCCAUACCAAUUCACGAAUCAAUACAAUAAUUAUGCUUUUUUAGAAAACUAUUGUACUCCCUCACCGCUAAUCCAACCCAAGUCACUUUGUUAUUGAUGAAAAUAAAAGUAUAGGUGUUUAAAUAAAAUCUCACAUGUCAUUUUCUACAAUUUAACAAAUUUGAGGUUUUCAAGGAAAAUUAUUUUUUAUUUGUUAUUUUAAUUUUUUUCUAUUUUAUAAAAUUAAAAAAAAAUAUAAAAAUAAAUAUCACUAUGGGGGGGGGCUAUUUUGUUGCAAAGAAAUUUUACAUGGAAGAAGUACAAAUGGGAAAGGGGGAGAGGAGGGUCGAGCGUCAUGUCAUAUAUUAAAUAUUACCAUUGGAUUUACUGAUAAAAUUAUUCUGAUAGUGACUCCAUCGGUCAUUCUAUCGAUAUCAAUGCCAUGUCAUUGUACGAUUUUCCUCUUUGUAUCCCACUGUAAUUGUGUCGGUAACUGCAUCUGUAAAAACUUACAUGUCAUCGUAUUGUCUUAUUUUUUUAUUCAUUCUAUUCCAACUAUGAUUCCCUUGGUACAUAUUUCAAUGACAUAUUUACAUCGUUGUUUACUAAUGGAGUUAGCAAUGGAAAAAUUCGGUUAGUAAAUAUCACUGUAAAAUACCGAUAGAAAAAAUCCGUCAGUGUUUCCAUAUGUAUUCGCCAAGUUUUUGGUAGUGAUGCUCAAGCUUAUAGUCUUUAGGUGGAUUUUGACCUAGAAAGCAUCUCUCCAAGAAAGGGGUGGUACCAUGUGUUUAUAAACUGCCCAGACCUUCAAUUUCUAGCUCAUUAAGGAUAUUAGUAUCACCAUAAACUUUAGAUAGCUUUUGGAUACUCUUCCAGGACAAAAGAGACAAUAGAGAUAGAAAACAAAAAACAAAAAAUGAGAUAGAGACUGAAUGUGUUUGGUAGUAAUGUACAAGACAAAGUAAUUAUCUCUAUAUCCUGUUUGAUUUUGUUGAACAAGACAAAAUAAAAUAAAAUAAAAUUUAGUUUACCCUUAAUAUAAAUUAUUGCCAGACUUAUAUACUUUCAAAAAUAAUGAAAUAUUUUUUUUACUUUAGUUUAUAUUUUGUGUUGAAAUUAAUAAUAUUAUAAUAAUCAAGGUUAUAAAACUAGGGCUGACUUAAUGGGUUGAGACAUGGACUGGUUCAAGUUUAAAAAUAAAAUAAAGGAAGGAUUAACUUGACCAAUAUUUACAAUAAAUAUGUUAAGCAUGAUUUUAAGAUUGCUUGAAAAAAAAACUAAAGUGUCAGAGAAUAUUAAAAUAUUCUUUUAAGAUUGCUUGAACUAAAUAAAAAUGAUUCAUCAACAUGUAUGAUAGAUAAGGAAAGAGUAUAUUUCUCAGUUGAUUGUAAACUAGUCUGAGAAUAUUUUUUAAACAAAUACGUAUCAACUAAAUUGUUAAUAAAAAAUGAUAAAAUGGUUAUCCAUACCAUAAUCUAUCAAUUUAACAUACAGUUUUAUUAUACAUGUUGAUGUUCUAUCAUGAAAUCAACCAUAUCUUAAUUGUUACCUCAAGAUUCGUUUCAAAAAAGUUCUUGCAGCUUUCCUCACCUUUGAGUGAUUAAACAAGGAAACUUAGAGAAAAAAAGAGAACUCAAAUUACACGAACUUUUCUUAAAAUUUAACUAGUGGUAUCACUUGUGGUCAUGCACUACAUGACAUAUUUUGAAGUUUCAUGGAAACUAUGAUGAUGGUGGUCCAAAUUUGUCAUCUGGUUAGCCUCUCAAGAAGUAUCAUUUCAUGCUUGGGUUUAUAGUCUUUUGGUGGAUUUUGUCCUAGAAAGAUGUCUCAUAACGAGAAGGGUGAUACCUAGAGUUUAUAAAUUAUCUAGACCUUCAACUUCUAAACCAUGAAGGAUAUUAGUAUCAUCAUUAUCCUUACAGUUGAGGGGCUUUAUUAGAACUUGAGAGCACAUAACUCAUGUUUCCAAAAAUGACAUCACUAAUAAUAUUGGUGUAUAUUUGUGACAUGACUGACCUCUUAAAAGUUAUUUGUUCCAAAUCCGUUACAUGACUGACCUCUCAAAAGUUAAGAGCACAUAGCCUCACAUUGAAUUUUGUUCUAAAAAGACUUUUUUAACAUGAAAAAGGCAGGGGCGGAGCAAGAAAAAAUAAUCAAGGGGGGCCAAAUUAAAAAAAUUACUCUAAAAGGGGUUAAAAUUUCAAGGGAGGGGCUGAAAAUUUUUUUCCUUGCAGGGGCCGGGGCCCCUACCAGCCCCCUGCUUCCGCCACUGGAAAAAGGAUGUACUUUAGACUUAUAAACGGUCUAAAUCCUCGACCCCUAGCAGUUAUGAGAUAUUGGUAUCUUACUGUCAAUUCAACCUAAUAUCAGUAAUCACUCCUUUCUAGUUUGAUGUAGCCGUGAUUCUGAUAACCGGUGAUUUUGAAUAGUAAGAUAGGAUCUUCUAUAAAUAAAUAAGAAUCUGCCCAAGAUAAAUUAUAUGGAUAGCCAAGUAGAUGCAUUUAUGGAUCAGUGCGACAAGUCCAGGACUAGGGUUGGCUCUCUUAACAUGUGACUCGGGCCUUCCCAACGUCGACCCCUCGAGUUAAAUUUUAAAACUAUAAUAAUGAUCACUUUUUUUCUUUUAUUGACUUGGGUCAGUGGUUAACCCCACUCAUGACCUGAGCUUUUUCUUGGGUCGACUCUCGAAUCAGAUUUGAAAACUAUGAUAAUAACCAUUUUUAUUUUUAUGCUGACUCGGGUCAACCCGACCUAAGACCCGAGUCUGGACUAGUGACCCAGGUUUUGCCCUGGAUCGAAUCUCAAGUUGGGUUUUAAAACUAUGAUAAUAACAUUUUUAUCCUUACAUGUCUUAGUUGGAUAGUUUUGGAAUUAAAAGUUUUGUAUAAUGAUAAAAAUAAUAAAUAUUGUCUCUAGAGAAAGCCUUUGCCUUUCUCCCUAUAAACGAUGAUGAUGAGUGAUGCAACCAUAUUAUUUGAUAGUUUCACCCACAUUUAACUCAUGUUUUGCCUUAUAUAUAUAUAUAUAUAUAUAUAUAUAUAUAUAUAUAUAAAAUGCCUUGAUAAUCUUUAUUUUAUGUUUUGAAGGCACUUUUGGAUGAAAGAUGCAAAAAGGAGUAAAUUAGAGGUAAUUGACAGAUUUGACCUUCCUUCAGUCCAUGUUUUCGCAGAGCGUGAUCUCUAGAGGUCAAAAUGAAGUGAUUCCAGUGGAAUUAAAAAGCUGACACUAUACCUUUCUAGACAUCUAACACAAGAAAAUAAAAUAAGGAAGAGCAUGGAAAUCGCAGCCUUUAAAGUCAAAUCUCAUCUGCCAGUGUUGACCUUCGGCCAUUCCUACUUAAAUAUGUGGAGCUACAGAAGUCCAAAAAUGAUGUCUUCUGAGGGAGAUAUGAUUUUUCAAAGAUGAAAACUGAAUUCUGCCAGCAAACAGGUUUUGUGAAGAAACGAGUUCAAAUUAUGUUCCGAAGCAUCUAAACCGACAUCCAAGUUUUUAUUUCAGCAAUUUAGCUCUUCUAAGUCAAAGCUUGAAGAUUUCAUGCAAGGCUAUUUCUCUUUUUUAGGAUAAUAGUUAUUGAAGUACUUAAAUGUAAACUGUCUACUUAAGGGAGGACUAUUUUUUUAAAUAGAGACUAGGAUUUCCUAAGAUAUAAAAAGAAUGAGAGAAGAGAACGAGAGCCAACCAAGAAGAGAAAAACGCCCCCUUCUCUAAGAAACCUGAAAUCAUGCAUUCCUCCUUCUUUUUUAUUAGUUGUUCAACAAACAUGCAAGGCUAAACUCUUUAUCUUGGUUGCAAGGACAUGGAAACCUUCGGAUUUCAAGAACUAUGAGAUCUAUUUUACCUUUUCUUUUCAGUUUAUAUGAUGAAUAUGUUUGUUCUCCUAUGCUUAAUUUUCCUAUGAGUGUUUAUUUUAAUUGCUAGAGCGUACUCUAAGUUAUUAUUGUAGACAAUCUAUUGCUAAGGUUUGAUAUCAAAACCGGAGUUGUGGUAUAUGAACUUUAGAAGCAACUGAGUUUAAUAAUUGUGGCGGAUCUAUGUUAUUAAUAUUAGAGAGAACAUUCAAUCAAAUUAAACAUAAACUGCGGACAAUUAUGUUUUCUUGAUUAAUCAAUUUAUCUAGUUCUUAAGGUUGCCAUUGAAUUAAAUUACUAGUGCGGACACUAUGGUUGUUUGAUGGUUAGGGUUAGUUAUACGACGAAUCCGUUAACUAACCAAUGUUAAGAAGAGAUAAACAUUUAGAAUAUAAAUUGGUAUCUCGUUUCCAUGAUCAAAUUUGUUUUCUAUAGGUGGACAUUUACUUGUGACCAAGGUUUGUUCUCUUGAUAAUUUUCUGAUUUUAUUUAAUUUCGCUUGAUAGUUUUCUAUUUUCUUUUGCUUUAUCCUAGAUAACGUCCAGACCCCCUCCCCAAAUUGCAUAUCAUCUAACAUAAAAAUUUGACUUGAACCUUCCUCGUGGGAUCGACCCCUUGCUUGCUCUAUACUAUCUUGUGUGUUGUGUUUUAAUCUAGGGUAUGUAAACGAUGAUGAUGAGUAGACUAGAUAUCAACUGUAAAAGUUUUCAUCAAGUAUUAAUAAAAAGGGCAUAGAUCCAACCAUAUGAGCAAUAUCUCUUUUAUGAUGAGUGUAUUUUUAUUAAGCAUUGGCUCAUAUUAAAUUUUCUUGUAUGUUAUUUUAUUUUUAUUUUCUUAAGAAAAAUCCAAAAAAAUUAAGAAAAAGUUUAAAAUUCAAAAAUAUAUUUUUCUCGGGUCAACCUUAUUUGUUACAUAAAAAACGAGCUCACUAGGUCAAUACAAGUCAAACCAUAUCAACCGGGAUAAAAAUGAGUUUCAAGCCAUUUCGGGUCAAAACUAUCAUUUUCGGUGAAAACCGAUCCGACAUACAUCAUCAUGCAUAAUCAUACAUCCAUAUGCAUCUACAUUUAUGAAUUAUGGAAUUUUCAUGGCAGGUAUUUAAAAUAUAGGUCCUCUUACUAAAGUCUACAAUACUAGGCUUCACAAAAGGAUGAAGAAUGAAAAAAGAGUUCACUUGGAGGCCUACUACCAAAAAGAGUUGGAAGACGUUAAGAAUAAUAUGGCUCGGAUGUCUAGUUUACUUUAGCAAAUCCUGGCUAGGAACCAAUCAUGACAGUCAUGAUAAAGUGAAUAAUUAUUCAUCUUUGGUGAGAAAAUUCAUACACAAGACUUCAAACAAAGUUGCAUGAACAUUGCUAUUUGACAUGAAAUUGAAAAAAUAUCAGGCUUUCGAAAAGACAAAGUAAAUCUUAUAAAAUGCUUGUUAGGGAAAACACCCUAAAAUAAAACCAAAAACAUGAGUCAUGUGUAUUUGAGAAAAGUACACAAAAAACAACAUUGUCAUAAGGCAAGGAGUUAUAAUGCAUUCCCAAUUGUGAUAGUAUUCAUCAUGGCCUAAAUACUCACAAAAGAGAAGGCAAUAAAGGCAGUUUGAUGCUCAAAAUUUAAAAGUAACUCACACGAAUAUGCUCGGGUAAAUUGGGAAGAUGAGCCGACAAAAGUGACUACCUAGAAAAUUACAACUGUUAGCAAUCAAAAGAAGAGAUUAUUAAGAAAUGGGGGGUCUAUAUUUUGAAAGGCAUGCAUUGCAUAUGAUUAAAACUUAACUUUGAAAUAGUGUUGGUGCAAUAUUCUUCAAUCAAGAGGAAAAUGCGAUGAAAUUUGCAUGAAAUGGGGGGUCUAUAUUUUGAAAGGCAUGCAUUGCAUAUGAUUAAAACUUAACUUUGAAAUAGUGUUGGUGCAAUAUUCUUCAAUCAAGAGGAAAAUGCGAUGAAAUUUGCAUGGGUAAACAGAAGUUGAGAAAUGGCAAAGAAAUCUCAUCCAUAUGAUGUGGAUAACUAAGGCCAUAAGACAAAACACUCGUUUUAAGAGUUUACCAUUGGAGGGUAUUUUUUUUUAAUCUUGUUUUAGUAAAGUUUUGAAGGAAUUUGUUGAAGAUCCUAAGUUUGAAUUUCAAAAUAGGUAGUCCGCUCAUGAAAAUUGAAAAAUUUUAUGGAAGUGUGAAUGUUUGUUCAAGUUCUUUUUGGAAUUUGAAAAUGGCAGGUCACCCAUGAAAAAAUGCCAACUUUUGAAUUUCAAAAUGGAUAGGCCGCCUAUAAAAAUAGACCAAUUUCAAGGAAGUAUGGAUGCUUGUUGGAGUUCUUUUUGGAAUUAGAAAAGGGUAGGUCGCCUAUGAAAAUAUAACAGUUUUUGAAUUUCAAAAUGGACAGGUUGCUUGUGAAAAUAGACCAAUUUUAAGAAAACAUAGACAUUUGUUGAAGUUCUUUUUGGAAUUUAAAAAGGAUAGGUUGCCCUUAAAAAUAGGCUACCUUUUGAAUUUUAAAAUAGACAGGUCGCCCGUGAAAAUAGACCAAUUUCAGAGAAGCAUGGACACUUGCUGAAAUUCUUUAUAGACUAAUUUUAGGAAAGUAUGGAUGCUCAUUGGAGUUUGUUUUUGGAAUUGGAAAAGGACAGGUUGCCUCUAAAAGUAGACCAGUUUUUGAAUUUCAAAAUGGACAGGUUGUGAAAAUAAACCUGUUGUAACUCAAUUUUGGCCCAUUAGUUUUUAAUUUAAUUUUAUGGGGUUUAAAACGUAAAAUGAAAAGAUUAGGGAUUUAUUUCGAUGAAAAGUGUGAUUUGUCAACUUGCGCAGAAAAUAGAGACUACAAUGUGUUUUUGUCAUUCUAUCCUUAUCUUCAAGAUAACCCUUAUCUUUAAGAUAAUGAUAGUUAUCCGCUUUUGAAUUUGAUUCUUAAUCAAAUUUAAACUUCAAAGAAGAGAAUGAGUUUGAUUCAAACUUUAUUUCUCAUAUGCGAUGAGAUUUUUGCACUAUAAAUACAGAUCUCAGGGUAUAAAAAAAAGGGAGGGAAAAAACCCUAAAAGAAGAGGCUAAAAUUACAAAAAUCAAGAGACUUCAGAAAAAUAAAAAAAGGACUUUAAAACGAAAAAAAGGGGAGGCGGCUGAAUCCUACCCUGGUGACCGCCUCCCCCCCUUUCAGAUUUUUCUCAUUUCUUCCUUGUCUCAACCCCUAGGAGCUGCAACUCCUCACAAUAAAAAGAAGCAAAUAAAGGCCCGAUCGAGAUCGUCUUCCUCCCUCCCGGUCACCUUUUUUAGGCCGUUGUCUCCAUCGCCAUUAAUCUUCGCCAUGUCUGCCUCUAAACCAAAACCAUGAACUACAUUGGCCUGUGAUCCUCCUUACUCCGAAGAUUUGCUGAGUUUAAAGGAACCAUGGUUUUUGUUUGGAAAAGCACAAGCUUUGAUCGGAUGCAGGGGGCAUGAAAACUUUUACAGUGGACGAAACCAAUAUCGUCAAGAUUAGUAGCAACUCAACCACCUCCAUGCACCAUGAGCAUGCAUCAGCAACCAACAAGGUGCACCUCCUCCAACUCCAGCAGCAGUCCAGCACCAUCCAGCAAGCAGCAUGCUACUCAUCCUGCACUAGCCGUGAACAACAAUAGAUUGCACCUCCAGCGAGCGACUUUCUCUGCACAGCACCGUGAACAUGCAACCGCAAGGCCAACCACACUCUUUUCAGCUACAGUCAUCACCAUCCUUCCAUCGUUAAAGUAGCUUCCUCCUCCGCGCCAGAAAUGCACAACCAGUAGAGAUAAGGGGGAAGACAUAGCAAAACGAUUGAAGAGAAAACAAUUAAGCAAAUAACAGAGCAAGGCAAUUGAGAGAGAACAGAAGAGGAGACAGAGAGAGGGCGGAAGAACUAGGAAAGUAACACAGGGGAAAGUAAACCAGAGAGAGAGAGAGAGGGGAGUGAGAUUGAAAAGGAAAGGGAAGAGCAGGACGUUCUUCGGCCGGAGCUAGGAUCAUCACCCUCGUCUUCGUCUCCGUCGUUGUCUUCACCUAGGUAAGCAUUCUUUCUCCCACCCCACAAUUCCCUUUCAAUUUUGUUCAAAAAAGUGCGAAGGUAAAAAUUAAUUACCUUCGCACUGUGCAGUAAACCAGUUGACGCGUGCCUGCUUCUUGGCCCGGUUACCGGCCUGAGCUUGUAACCGGGUCGGGCUAGAUCCAGCCUCGCUCGUACGGCUGGGCUCGAUCCAGCCUAAAAAAAAAAAGUAAACAAAAAAAGAAAAAAGUGUAGAAAAAUUGUUUAUUCUUCAUUAACAAUUCAAAAACUUUGUGAACUUGUUCACUAAUACUAGAGUCAAGAUUAUCAUAUUUUUUUGGGUUUUAUGCGAUAUUUACCAAUGCUAGAGUUGGAAAUAUUUGUAGGAAUUGUUCAUUAAUGCUAGAGUCAGGAACAUGAAAGGAAAAAUAAAAAAGAAAAAGGAGAACAAAUUCUUUAGCAAUUUAAGAUAGAACCAACAAUUCAGCUUGCUUCGGAUAGGAUGCUUAAGGGGUGAUAAUAUCUUUCCUUUCGCGUAACUAGUCACAUACCAUAGAAUCUAUGUUGACCAGUUAGGGUUCCUAGUGACCAUAAUACUAGGUAGUGACUCCUUGAACUAGACAUCCCCCCCAAAGAACAAGGUGUCAGACAUCUGUUCUUUUUCCAAUCAAGAUUAAUUUUUAAUCGGUCGUCGCAAUGUCCGGGUGUGACAAAACCAAUUUCAAGGAAGCAUGAACGUUUGCUGAAGUUCUAUUUGGAAUUUGAAAAGGGUAGAUUGCCCUUGAAAUUAGGCCACCUUUUGAAUUUCAAAAAUGGGCAGGCACCCGUGAAAAUGGACCAAUUUCAGGGAAGCAUGGACACUGGCUGGAAUUCUUUUUGAAUUUUAAAAAGAUUAGAUCGCCCGUGAAAAUAGACUAAUUUUUUGAAUUUUAAAAGCAAAGUCUUUGGAUGGGUGGAUAACCUAGCAAGUCAGAUAUACAAUUGGAGAAGGUAUAACCAUGUGAAAACUCGAGGUGAAGUCCAUGUAGCCUGCCCAUUCAUGUUCUUUCAAUGUUUAAUGAUGUUUUUGAAUUUUUUUGGCAUUAUUUAUAUUUUUAACAUUUAUAUAGAUUGAUGAAUGGAAAUGUUAUUUUGAUUGAAGUUGAUGACAUGUUUAAAAGGUGUUUAUGUGUUUGUUUUUGACAAAGUUAUAAGUUUUGGAAUCUGUCUAAGGUAGCAGUAGGAGUUUGAUGGCUUUUACUAGGUUGCUAAUGCAUGUUUUUGGUUACUGAGUUUAGUUUGGGUCUCAAAGUGUUUAAAAAGUCAGUUUUGGAUUGAGUUUUAAUGUUUUUCUUGGUUGAUAAUAGGGUUGUAGUUUUGGAAGUUGAAAUCUUACAAAUGUUCUUGAUGAUUCAAGGUUAUUUGUUAGUGUUUUUUAUUCAAACUUGUUUGUUUAUGAUAAUGUAGUUUGUUAGGGCUAAGAGAUCUUGGUUUGGAGGCCUAAAAUGUAUUUUCUAGGUUUGAUAGUGUAUGCUGGAUGUGUUUUUAGGUCGAUCCGAUCGGGUCAAAAUUAGUGUUUUUGAGGCUUUGUUUGGUUUGCAACUAUUUUGAUAAGAGGAAUUUUAUCAUAAGGGUGUGUUUGACAAACACGUCAUUAGGCCUGUUUUGACAAUUUUGUUUUGAACAAAAAUAUGAUUUUGCCAAACAUGACCCAAAAAAAUUAAUGUUUUUUUGCUUGUUGCAUACGGCCCAAUCCUUAUAAAAAAAUUGCUUUUUAAUUUAUGAAAAAGGAGAAAAAAUAUUUUUAGCAUGGUUUUAGAAAAAUUGCAUCUUUUGGAAUUUACACCAAGUUUGUAAAAAUCCUUAAGAAUUUGGCCAAUAUUUCAAUAACUCUAAAUUUUUAAUUCAUGAAAAUUAAUGGUCAUCAUCCUAGUCUAAAUAUUGGACCUAUAAGGAGACUAGUAUUUAAUACUAGGAGUUGACUAGAAAUGUUUUAGGAUUAUUUUAGAUAUUUAUUAAUUUUAAUUGAGAGUAAUUUGUUAUCACAAUAUACGAGUUGUGGAGAAGCAUUUUGUCUACUAGGAUAGGUGAACCAUGUUAGGGCACCUACAUAGACCCCUGCCAUAAGAAUUUAUUUGGGCAUACGAGCGUAUAAUAAACUCAAGAUGCCAAAUUUAUUCAUGGGAGUAAAUCUUUAUUAAGAGCCAUAUACAGAUUAUCGAUUAGGAACCCAUCAAAAUCGUUAAACCAUAUCUAGACUAUGUAAUGCAGCUUCCCUCAGGUAAAAUAUGCUACAAGUACUAAUACUUUUUGUAACCACAAUCAAUCUCUUAUCCUUAAAAUUUAUGUUAAAAUUAGCAUAGUUAUCAUACUUGACCUGGGGUUGACCCGGGCAAGGAGCCAGGUUCCGAGUUACACGAGUUGACCAGGGUCAACCCGAAAAAAUUUAAAAAAUAUAUUUGAAGUUUUAAUAUUUCAUAUGAAAAAAUUAAGAAACAAUCUAUAUGAAUAUAGACUAUAUAUGUUAUAAAUAAUGAAGUUUGAAAGAUUAUUUCAAAAGGUUUUUUAUUCCAUAUUGAAAAGAUACUAUGUUAGUAUGUUAUAAUUUUAAGUUAAAGUAUUUAAAUCAAAAAGGUUUUUUUUUUCACAUUGAAAAAACAUAACUUUUUUCUUGUAAACAUAGAGUAUAUAUACUAAAGGGCUUCAAAUUCCACAUUGAAAAAAUAAUUUUUUUCUUGUGAAUAUAGAGUAUAUAUAUACUAAAGGGUUUUAAAUCUUACAUUGAAAAAAUGAAAUAUUCUUCUAGUAUUUAUAUAGUGAACUUUGAAAAGGGUUAAUAACCAACUAAAAAAAUAUAAAAAAGAGGUCUCUACCUAGAAGAAAAAACACAUUUGAAAAAAACAAAAAAAAAGGUCUCAUCCGGGUUUAAUCGAGUCGCCUAGGUCACGGGUCAACCAUGUUUUGCCGGAUUUUUACUCAUUUCAAUCUUUUAUCUUACCCAAAACGGUCCAGCGAUCAAAUCCCAAGUCAACCUACCGGAUCGAUCUAAGUUGAAUAACUAUGAAAAUUAGUACAUUCAAGUCUUCUAAUAACCACAUACCAAAUAAUUAAAUAACAACUCCUCGAUCCUGAUAUCCUACAUCAUAUGCGUGCAUGUGCCACAAAGCUCAACACUAUCAUUUUCGUACAAAGACUAAUACUGUAUAUAUUAUAGAAGGAGAAGGAAACAAAACGACAGGGAAAGAGGCUUAUGAGAGCAAGAGGUCCUUGACGUAAUUUGCUAGAAUGUUCAACAUGUCUAGGUCAUGCAAUAAAUAAGACGACUAGGAAACCCACCACACUAACUCCCUUCAGCCUUUUCUUCCAACAAAUACUAGCGUUUCCACUCUGUCAGACCUCAGCCUUUGGAGUCCAAGAAGCGUAGCGAUACUUGAAGCAUCUUCUUUUUCACUUCAAGAAUGGCUGGUGAUCAAGUAACCCUGUUGGAUUUCUGGUCAAGUCCAUUUGGUAUGAGAGUGAGAAUAGCAUUGGCUGAAAAGGGUGUAAAGUAUGAGUACAGUGAACAAGAUUUGUGGAACAAAGGUGCUUUAUAUCUUCAAAUGAAUCCUGUUCACAAGAAAAUCCCAGUUCUUGUCCAUGAUGGGAAACCUAUUUGUGAGUCACUUAUCAUUGUUCAGUAUAUUGAUGAGGUGUGGAAGGAUAAGGCUCCUUUGUUGCCUUCUGAUCCCUACGAGAGAGCUCAAUCUAGGUUCUGGGCAGAUUUUGUUGAUAAG
rnacentral:lncRNA from 1 species